rnacentral:rRNA from 1 species
UACAGAGGGGGCAAGCGUUGUUCGGAAUUACUGGGCGUAAAGGGCUCGUAGGCGGCCAACUAAGUCGGAUGUGAAAUCCCCAGGCUCAACCUGGGAACUGCAUCCGAUACUGGAUGGCUUGAAUUCGGGAGAGGGAUGCGGAAUUCCAGGUGUAGCGGUGAAAUGCGUAGAUAUGCGGAGGAACACCGGUGGCGAAGGCGGUUCUCUGGGCCUUACCUGACACUGAGGAGCGAAAGCGUGGGGAGCGAACAGG